UCGAGUUCGUCUGUCUUUGAUGCUGUCUCAUGACCAAGUAUUGUCCUGGGCAAGACAGGCAACCCUAUUCACCGGUGCAUAUUUUAUAACUAUCAACUUUCGGCCUUGGUCACUUCCCCUGCAAACAGCAGCCCAACUCUGCACGGCAACAGCCCACCUUAGGUUCCAAGAAACGGAUCCUGUAUGUCUGCGUGCUUGACCGCGCCUCUGGUUUAACAAGAUGGCCGUCUAGGCAGAACGUCCGGUAACGCCUGUUCUCGUUAGCAAGCACCUGUACUUUGCAACUAUUGUACGUGGCUUGGUAUCCUUACUUCCUUGUUGUUCUUGAUGUAUUGGGCUUCGCCUUAGGUGCUGAGCGUCACGAACAGCAACACGCUACACGUUCUCAACGUACUGUAAGUUAUUUGGUGUGGUGUUCAUUUUAGUGUGCAGCGCUCUCAGAAAAGAGGGUGCAGCAGUUACACCUUUUAGGAGUCGCCUGCUGAAGUGACUGUCAAAGUUCACGUGCGGAGGAUGGCUUCCUUUCCUUCUAAGGUCAUUUGCUUUCUUGUUCUGAGCUUCGCAGUCGUGACAACCGCUGAUAUACUACUUUUGCACAAUACUCAUCAUCCAUAUGGCUGUCCUGAAGACAAGGAUGAAUGCAACAACCACUGCAGGGCGACGUUCAACUGGAGAGGUUACUGCGGCAGCUUGAACAAGGCCAACUGCAAGUGCACUCCAUGAUGCUGACAAGACCAAGGAGCGUCAAAAGAAAAUAAACCAUUCGUUUUGAA